rnacentral:ncRNA from 1 species
AGUAUACAUUAAAAGAUAUAGGGGCCUAAUUUUUUGUAGUGUUAUUAAGAUUAGUCUUUGGGGCCAUGUCAAACCUUCUAUAACUUGUGGGAAUCAAAAAUGAAAGGGGCUCGCUCUUGUUAUCACUUGGUGUGCAUGUAAUAUUUUAAUGGUUAAUAAUAUACUAAAAGAGUUAUGAUAAAAUUCGCAGCACUUUAUAUUAAACAAUUAAUUUAGGUUUGAUUUAGUAAUAUUCAUAGGUUUGGCUAAUAUUUGUGCCAGCUGCUGCGGUUAUACUUAAGAAUCAAAUGAGAGUUUAUUAGUAGGGGUAGUUAGUUGACUUAGGGAACUGGGUAACUUAGAUUAAUAUAAGGUGAAAUUAACUAUUAAUUAUAAGGAUUAUUAGAUUUUUAAUUUAAAUGAACUAUAAAACUUUAAAUAAAAACUAGGAUUAGAUACCCUUUUAUUUUAAAGUCAAAUGUAUGCACUAGAUUAUUGUUAGUUAUGUUCUUUAAAUUUAAAGGAUUUGGCGGUAAUUUAGUCUAGUUGGAGGAACCUGUUUUUUUAAAACGAUGAGCCACGAAGAAUCUUACUUAUCUUUAUUUGUUAGUAUACCGUCAUUAUUAGAUAACUUUGAUAAAAUUAGUUGUCGGGAGAUAGCUAUUUAUGUUAGUAUAGUAUAUUAGAUCAAGGUGCAGCUCAUAGUUAUGUAAAAAUGGGUUACAAUAAAUUAUAUUUUAAACGAAUCAUCAGUUGAAUAUAUUUAUGUGAAGGAGAAUUCAAUUGUAAAUUUGGUUUAAUAAGCUAAAUUGAUAAAAGCUCUAAAUUGUGUACAUAUCGCCCGUCACUUUCAUCUUAAAAUGAAAUAAGUCGUAACAUAGUAGGUGUACUGGAAGGUGUACCUAGAUUUAAUUU